rnacentral:rRNA from 1 species
GACGAACGCUGGCGGCGUGCUUAACACAUGCAAGUCGAGCGGUAAGGCCCUUUCGGGGGUACACGAGCGGCGAACGGGUGAGUAACACGUGGGUGACCUGCCCUCAGCUCUGGGAUAAGCCUGGGGAACCGGGUCUAAUACUGGAUAUGACUCCAUGACGCAUGUUGUGGGGUGGAAAGCCUUGUGCGGCUGAGGAUGGGCCCGCGGCCUAUCAGCUUGUUGGUGGGGUGAUGGCCUACCAAGGCGACGACGGGUAGCCGGCCUGAGAGGGCGACCGGCCACACUGGGACUGAGACACGGCCCAGACUCCUACGGGAGGCAGCAGUGGGGAAUCUUGCGCAAUGGGCGAAAGCCUGACGCAGCGACGCCGCGUGAGGGAUGACGGCCU